rnacentral:rRNA from 1 species
UUCUGGUUGAUCCUGCCGAAGGCUACUGCUAUUGGAGUUCGAUUAAGCCAUGCGAGUCUAAGGGAUCUUCGGAUCCCUGGCGUAAUGCUCAGUAACACGUGGAUAAUCUACCCUCAGGUGGGGCAUAAACCCGGGAAACUGGGGCCAAUUCCCCAUAAAUACAGAUGGCUGGAAUGCUUCUGUAUUCAAAGCUCCGGCGCCUGAGGAUGAGUCUGCGGCCUAUCAGGUUGUAGUCAGGGUCAUGACCUGACUAGCCAGCGACGGGUAUGGGGUGUGAGAGCACUUGCCCAGAGAUGGUUUCUGAGACACGAAACCAGGCCCUACGGGGCGCAGCAGGCGCGAAAACUUCGCAAUGCGGGAAACCGUGACGAGGGAACUCCAAGUGUCUAUGCAUUGCAUAGACUGUUUUUUAGCCUAAAUAGCUAUUAGAGUAAGGGGUGGGUAAGACCGGUGCCAGCCGCCGCGGUAACACCGGCACCCCGAGUGGUAGCCACUAUUAUUGGGCCUAAAGCGUUCGUAGCCGGUUUGGUAAAUUCUUGGGUAAAUCGUACCGCUUAACGGUGCGGAUUCCGGGGACACUACCAGACUUGAGACCGGGGGAGAUCAGAGGUACUUGCGGGGGAGCGGUGAAAUGUUGUAAUCCCGCAGGGA